rnacentral:sRNA from 1 species
UCGAGGCGAACAAUUUGACCAGAAGGUCA